ACCUCACUCCCGGAGGCCCGAACUGCUGAGUUCCCACCCAACCGAACGGACACAGAAAGAAUCUGCCCGGCCCGGCCCCGCCCCCGGCCCCUGGAUUCCUCUGGGGGCUGGGCGGGAGGCUGCGGCCGAAAGGCGAAAGAGAGGCUCUUGGCCGCCUCUCCCCUCCUCGCCGUGCUCAGCCAGGAACUGUUUUAGUUUCUGUCUUCCUGGAUUCAGGGGGUCUUGCCCAGCAAGUCCCAGAGUGACCUGGUCACACAGGACCACUAGCCCUGCUCAGCUCCUGGCAGCCUCUCAGUCUAAACUGCACCCUCUUCAGGCCACACAUCAACUCUCCAUGUGUAUCUACCCAGCUGUGGUGCUGAUUUUAAUCCUGAAAGAUAUGUUCCAAAUACCAUAAUCCUGACACUGGAAAUCCUGAAAGAUCAAAAUCCCUAAACCUUAAAAUCCAGGAAAAAUCACAAUCUCAAAAUACUAAAAAUCCCAGAUGUUGAAGUCGUGAAAGCCAGAAUCCUGAAAACUGCAAUUCUAACUGAAAAACAAGGAAGGCUACAUAAGAGGGACAGAAAGCCAAACUCUGGGGAAAGGAUUAGUGCAUUUUGGGUUAUACACAGACUUGUUGCAUCUUAUGAGGUGGAUGAGACACCUAGAAACCUGGUCAAGCUUUUUUUGAGUGUCUGUGAGGAAGAUCCACACUCACUGUGGGCAGCACCAUCCAAUCUGCUGACCAAGCAGCACAAAUACACAGGCUAAUGGGUCUAAGAGUUGGCACAGAGCAUUCUUCAACCGCCUUGGACAUCAGAAUGCCAGGCUCACUUGCUGUUGGACUCCAGGACUUAGAUCAGCAAUCUCUAGAUCCCCAGACUUUUUUAUUCUAUUCCACUAUUCUAAAUUGUCAGCAUUAUUUUUUUUAUAUAUAAUUUGCUCUGCUAUGUAUUUCAUUGUUGCAUCAUUUCUAAUCCCGGAAGUAUAAAUUGUGUAGAGACUUUUAGUGAGCUCUAAUUCAUUUCAUGCCUUUUCUUUUUGGUAAAUUUGACUCAGUGAAAGUGCAGUUUCACAACAUUGACUUUGUGUGUAAGCAUUGUGCAUGCACGUAGAAUGUUGAAACUUAGUCGAUAAAUGAAAGGAUGUCCUUUACGUACAUCUACAUCAGAAGCUCUACCGGUGAGGACUAAGAGCUCCCCACGGCAGUGUCCACAGUCCUCCAAGCUCUGGAACCAGAGUGACGCUCUGAGUUGCCUGUGAGGUAAUGCUAAGCUGUCUCGAUGGAGCUGCUAUGACAUGCCAACUAGAAGUGAUGAUCCCGGGUCACUGAUUUUUAUCUGUAUUCUCCUUUGGGUGACACUGCAGUCUUCCAUAGUUGAAGCAAUUUACACUCCCACCAGUAUUGCCUGUGAAUUCUGCCCCACAUCCUCAACAACACAAUCUUUGUCCUUUUGGCCAUCUUGGUGGAGCUGUAAUUUGAGGUUCUAGGUUUCUUUCCUCUUUCUUUCUUCCUUUCUUCCUUUCUUUCUAUCUUUCUUUCUU
rnacentral:lncRNA from 1 species